UACAGAGGGUGCGAGCGUUAAUCGGAAUUACUGGGCGUAAAGCGCGCGUAGGCGGCUUUGCAAGUCGGGUGUGAAAUCCCCAGGCUUAACCUGGGAACUGCAUUCGAGACUGCAUUGCUAGAGUAUGGGAGAGGGAAGUGGAAUUCCCGGUGUAGUGGUGAAAUGCGCAGAUAUCAGGAGGAACACCGAUGGCGAAGGCAGGUCUCUGGGCAUUAACUGACGCUGAGGAGCGAAAGCAUGGGGAGCGAACAGG
rnacentral:rRNA from 1 species